rnacentral:lncRNA from 1 species
CAAUUAAUACCAUGUUUCAUGAAGGAAGCAGGAAGCAGCCACGGUCGGACGCUGCCAGUUUUAUUUAUUAAUAAUCUGAACACACCAUACAAUUACAAACUGCAAACAACGCAUGCAGUACUAGUUCCAAAGCACACUACUAAUUAACAUCGUGAUCAUCUCUCACACAAUAGACAUACUCAGAUCACAUAUAUAUAUACCAAAUUGAAAGCAACCCAACUAACAACCUGAGGGUCUCAAGUUUCUUUAUUAAACAAACAGCAACCAAGGUAAUAUGUUUUUAGAAAAAGGAUAUGCCGUUUUUGAUUUUUUACUAUGUGUUAUUUAUCCCUUGGUAAUAUGGUCAGCAACAUCUUUAGUAAUGCUGACCAUAAAAUCAACAUAUGCAACUGGGUCCGGAACAUUGGCGUUUAACUUCUCAUAUGCAAUGCUACAAGUUGCGAUGCUGCCAGCACUGCCAUCCCCUUUUGGAGAAACUUUAUAAACCGGGAGCCAGCUUU